rnacentral:rRNA from 1 species
CCUACGGGGGGCAGCAGUCGAGAAUCAUUCACAAUGGGGGAAACCCUGAUGGUGCGACGCCGCGUGGGGGAAUGAAGGUCUUCGGAUUGUAAACCCCUGUCAUGUGGGAGCAAAUUAAAAAGAUAGUACCACAAGAGGAAGAGACGGCUAACUCUGUGCCAGCAGCCGCGGUAAUACAGAGGUCUCAAGCGUUGUUCGGAAUCACUGGGCGUAAAGCGUGCGUAGGCUGUUUCGUAAGUCGUGUGUGAAAGGCGCGGGCUCAACCCGCGGACGGCACAUGAUACUGCGAGACUAGAGUAAGGGAGGGGGAACCGGAAUGCUCGGUGUAGCAGUGAAAUGCGUAGAUAGCGAGAGGAACACUCGUGGCGAAGGCGGGUUCCUGGACAUUAACUGACGCUGAGGCACGAAGGCCAGGGGAGCGAAAGGGAUUAGAUACCCGAGUAGUC